rnacentral:rRNA from 1 species
UAGAUGCGAGAGUAGAGCAUAUCAAUAAGCGGAGGAAAAGAAACUAACAAGGAUUCCCUUAGUAACGGCGAGUGAAGCGGGAAGAGCUCAAAUUUGAAAUCUUCAAGGUUCUACCUUGACGAAUUGUAGUUUAAAGAAGUGUUUUCUGUUAGAUGAGUAGCAAAAGUUCCUUGGAAUGGGACAUCAUAGAGGGUGAGAAUCCCGUAUUUGGUUAUUCAUUCUAGCUUUGUGAUACACUUUCAAAGAGUCGGAUUGUUUGGGAAUGCAGUCCAAAAUGGGUGGUAAAUUUCAUCUAAAGCUAAAUAUUGGCGAGAGACCGAUAGCGAACAAGUACCGUGAGGGAAAGAUGAAAAGAACUUUGAAAAGAGAGUUAAACAGUACGUGAAAUUGUCAAAAGGGAAGCGUUUGACACCAGUGUUGUUUUUCCGAAAAUCAAUUACGAAUGGCUUGAUUUUGUGUUGUAUUGACCUUAUCAGCUUUCUGCACUUUUUUUCGAGUCUUUCUUAAUGCACUUUUCGGUUAACAAGUCAACAUCAAUUUCUUUUGUUGUAAAAGAGUAUUCGGAAGGUGGCUUUCUUUUCGGAGAAAGUGUUUAUAGCCCUAUACUUCUACAAUCGGAGAGAUUGAGGUCUGCAGCGUAGAUCCUUCGGGGUUAGAUACACUUUGUGCUAAGUUGUAGCUUUUCAUAGACAACUUGUUGACUAUGUUUAGUCAUGCGGCUUACUCGCUUAUGCUAUUUUACCUACGCUUAGGAUGUUGAGCGCAUGUCUCUCUCU